rnacentral:misc_RNA from 1 species
GAUACUGGCAAUGUUACUGAUCUGCAGUACCACAAAAUAAAAGUCAGCCAUUUGAAGCUGACAUGUAAAUAUUAUAGCUACAGUGUCUAAAAGAAAUCCAAGAAAAAUAAAUUGCCAUUUAAUUGCUCUCAAUUGAUUGGAAGAAAAAAGUGCAUACGCACCAAAAAGAUUACUCCUAGUCAAGAUUUAUUAUUCUUUAAAGAAGUUUUCCCAGAAAAUUCUUUUCAACAGAAACGAGACAUCAUAUGACGGUGAAUUAAGCAAUUCCUCACUUCGAGCUCAAAA